CGAGAGUUUCCUUUUGAAAUGCGAAUAACUGAAUGUUUGAGUAUCCACGUUUUGCUCUCAUAAAUUAGUGAAAUAUUAUUCCGAAUUUUAAUUUCAUAUUAUGACACAUGAGAAAUAUUGACCGGAUGUCUCAAAUAGUUGUCAUGCUUCUGGAAGUAAAACUUUGAUUCUUGUAGAAAAGCCUGGCCAAUAUUCAACACUGUCUAGAGUGGCCAACGGUUAGAGUGACUGUAGUCACACUAUCUGCGAUUUACCAUCUAAAAAAAUAUUUUAAAAACUAUAAUGAUCACUCAUCACUGAAUAAUCCAAGGAUCGCCAGCGUUGUCAGGAAUGUCAUAAAACAUCAUUACUUCGUCAUUCGAUAAUUAACAAUUUCAAACGGCAAAAGCAAAAAUUAAAAACAAUUCUGUGACAGAUGAAAGGAAACUUUUAAAUUUAGUAGAUUAAUUUUUUAAAAACCACUGAGUACCAUCUAAAACCAAGGCAAACGUUUGCACCU
rnacentral:lncRNA from 1 species